UACGAAGGGGGGCUAGCGUUGUUCGGAAUUACUGGGCGUAAAGCGCACGUAGGCGGACAUUUAAGUCAGGGGUGAAAUCCCGGGGCUCAACCCCGGAACUGCCUUUGAUACUGGGUGUCUUGAGUCCGGAAGAGGUGAGUGGAAUUGCGAGUGUAGAGGUGAAAAUUCGUAGAUAUUCGCAGGAACACCAGUGGCGAAGGCGGCUCACUGGUCCGGUACUGACGCUGAGGUGCGAAAGCGUGGGGAGCAAACAGG
rnacentral:rRNA from 1 species